AGAGUUUGAUCAUGGCUCAGAUUGAACGCUGGCGGCAGGCCUAACACAUGCAAGUCGAACGGUAGCACAGAGAGCUUGCUCUCGGGUGACGAGUGGCGGACGGGUGAGUAAUGUCUGGGAAACUGCCUGAUGGAGGGGGAUAACUACUGGAAACGGUAGCUAAUACCGCAUAACGUCGCAAGACCAAAGAGGGGGACCUUCGGGCCUCUUGCCAUCAGAUGUGCCCAGAUGGGAUUAGCUAGUAGGUGGGGUAACGGCUCACCUAGGCGACGAUCCCUAGCUGGUCUGAGAGGAUGACCAGCCACACUGGAACUGAGACACGGUCCAGACUCCUACGGGAGGCAGCAGUGGGGAAUAUUGCACAAUGGGCGCAAGCCUGAUGCAGCCAUGCCGCGUGUAUGAAGAAGGCCUUCGGGUUGUAAAGUACUUUCAGCGGGGAGGAAGGUGUUGUGGUUAAUAACCGCAGCAAUUGACGUUACCCGCAGAAGAAGCACCGGCUAACUCCGUGCCAGCAGCCGCGGUAAUACGGAGGGUGCAAGCGUUAAUCGGAAUUACUGGGCGUAAAGCGCACGCAGGCGGUCUGUCAAGUCGGAUGUGAAAUCCCCGGGCUCAACCUGGGAACUGCAUUCGAAACUGGCAGGCUAGAGUCUUGUAGAGGGGGGUAGAAUUCCAGGUGUAGCGGUGAAAUGCGUAGAGAUCUGGAGGAAUACCGGUGGCGAAGGCGGCCCCCUGGACAAAGACUGACGCUCAGGUGCGAAAGCGUGGGGAGCAAACAGGAUUAGAUACCCUGGUAGUCCACGCCGUAAACGAUGUCGACUUGGAGGUUGUGCCCUUGAGGCGUGGCUUCCGGAGCUAACGCGUUAAGUCGACCGCCUGGGGAGUACGGCCGCAAGGUUAAAACUCAAAUGAAUUGACGGGGGCCCGCACAAGCGGUGGAGCAUGUGGUUUAAUUCGAUGCAACGCGAAGAACCUUACCUACUCUUGACAUCCAGAGAACUUUCCAGAGAUGGAUUGGUGCCUUCGGGAACUCUGAGACAGGUGCUGCAUGGCUGUCGUCAGCUCGUGUUGUGAAAUGUUGGGUUAAGUCCCGCAACGAGCGCAACCCUUAUCCUUUGUUGCCAGCGGUCCGGCCGGGAACUCAAAGGAGACUGCCAGUGAUAAACUGGAGGAAGGUGGGGAUGACGUCAAGUCAUCAUGGCCCUUACGAGUAGGGCUACACACGUGCUACAAUGGCGCAUACAAAGAGAAGCGACCUCGCGAGAGCAAGCGGACCUCAUAAAGUGCGUCGUAGUCCGGAUUGGAGUCUGCAACUCGACUCCAUGAAGUCGGAAUCGCUAGUAAUCGUAGAUCAGAAUGCUACGGUGAAUACGUUCCCGGGCCUUGUACACACCGCCCGUCACACCAUGGGAGUGGGUUGCAAAAGAAGUAGGUAGCUUAACCUUCGGGAGGGCGCUUACCACUUUGUGAUUCAUGACUGGGGUGAAGUCGUAACAAGGUAACCGUAGGGGAACCUGC
rnacentral:rRNA from 1 species